UUUCCUACGGGACGCAGCAGUGAGGAAUAUUGGUCAAUGGGCUUACGCCUGAACCAGCCAAGUCGCGUGAGGGAAGACUGCCCUAUGGGUUGUAAACCUCUUUUGCCGGGGAGCAACGGGCGUCACGUGUGGCGCCACUGAGAGUACCCGGAGAAAAAGCAUCGGCUAACUCCGUGCCAGCAGCCGCGGUAAUACGGAGGAUGCGAGCGUUAUCCGGAUUUAUUGGGUUUAAAGGGUGCGUAGGCGGAUCGUUAAGUCAGUGGUCAAAUUGAGGGGCUCAACCCCUUCCCGCCAUUGAAACUGGG
rnacentral:rRNA from 1 species